UACGGGGGGGGCAAGCGUUGUUCGGAAUUACUGGGCGUAAAGGGCUCGUAGGCGGCCAACUAAGUCAGACGUGAAAGCCCUGGGCUUAACCUGGGAAUUGCAGUCGAUACUACUCAGCUAGAGUAUGGGAGAGGGUAGUGGAAUUCCAGGUGUAGCGGUGAAAUGCGUAGAUAUCUGGAGGAAUACCGGUGGCGAAGGCGGCAUCCUGGACCGAGAUUGACACUGAUGAGCGAAAGCUAGGGGAGCAAACGGG
rnacentral:rRNA from 1 species